rnacentral:rRNA from 1 species
GAUGAACGCUGGCGGCGUGCCUAAUACAUGCAAGUCGAGCGAACGGACGAGAAGCUUGCUUCUCUGAUUUUAGCGGCGGACGGGUGAGUAACACGUGGAUAACCUACCUAUAAGACUGGGAUAACUUCGGGAAACCGGAUCUAAUACCGGAUAAUAUUUUGAACCGCAUUGGUCAAAAGUAAAAGACGCUUUUUCUGUCACUAAUAGCUGGAUCCGCGCUGCAUUAGCUAGUUGGUAAGGUAACGGCUUACCAAGGCAACGAUGCAUAGCCGACCUGAGAGGGUGAUCGGCCACCCUGGAUCUGAGACACGGUCCAGACUCCUACGGGAGGACGCAGUAGAGAAUCUUCCGCGAUGGGCGAAAGCCUGACGGAGCAACGCCGCGUGAGUGAUGAAGGUCUUCUGAUCGUAAAACUCUGUUAUUAGGGAAGAACAAAUGCGUAAGUAACUGUGCACAUCUUGACGGUACCUAAUCAGAAAGCCCCGGCUAACUACGUG